GCCGGGGUGGCAGAGCGGACAAUUUCCGCGGAAAAGACGCGGCAGGCUCGAGACCUGUUGUCCCUUCCAGGGACGCUUGGGUUCAAAUCCCAACCCCGGCG
rnacentral:tRNA from 1 species